rnacentral:lncRNA from 1 species
GGGGUGGGGAUCUGGACCGUUUACAAGUUCUCAAACAAGAGGGGGGUGGGGUGACUCCCUAGGGACUUCUCUUUUAUUUCAUUGCAUUUGUUUUAUUGUCCCUACAAUAAUAUAGAUGGUUAAGGGAUGGGGAUCUGGACCGUUUACUAGUUAAUAGCACGUUCUCAAAUUGAAUGGGGUGGGGGUGACCCCCCAUGACAUUCCCAUUAGUUUUAUUUCAUUUGUUUUAUUGUCCCUUUCAAGAAUAUAUAUGGUUUAGGGUGGGGAUCUGAAUGGUUUACAAAAUAAUAGCAUAUUCUCAAAUUGAAAGGGGUGGGGGUGACCCCCAUGGACUUCCCUUUUCUUACAUUUGAUUUGUUUUAUUGUCCUCUACAAGAAUAUAUAUGGUUUAGGGGUGGGGAUCUGAACCGUUUACAAGAUAAUAGCACAUUCUCAAAUUGAAUGGGGUGGGGUGACCCCCCGGGACUUCCUAUUAGUUUCAUUUGAUUUGUUUUAUUGUCCCAUUCAAGAAUAUAUAUGGUUUAGGGGUGGAGAUCUGGGUCGUUUACAAGAUAAUAGCAUAUUCUCAAAUUGAAGGGGGUGGGGAUGACCCCCAUGGGACUUGCCCUAUAUUUUAUGCAAUUUGUUUUGUUGUCCUUUGAGCAUUUCUGAAGACUGCAUGUGUCUAUCACUUAUAAUUUUCAAGUUAUAUUCUUUUG